rnacentral:rRNA from 1 species
UACGUAGGGUGCAAGCGUUAAUCGGAAUUACUGGGCGUAAAGCGUGCGCAGGCGGUGAUGUAAGACAGAUGUGAAAUCCCUGGGCUCAACCUGGGAACUGCAUUUGUGACUGCAUCGCUGGAGUGCGGCAGAGGGGGAUGGAAUUCCGCGUGUAGCAGUGAAAUGCGUAGAUAUGCGGAGGAACACCGAUGGCGAAGGCAAUCCCCUGGGCCUGCACUGACGCUCAUGCACGAAAGCGUGGGGAGCAAACAGG